rnacentral:rRNA from 1 species
UAAGGAAUAUUGGUCAAUGGACGCAAGUCUGAACCAGCCAUGCCGCGUGAAGGAUGAAGGUCCUCUGGAUUGUAAACUUCUUUUAUCUGGGACGAAAACGGGAUUUUUAUCUCAAUUGACGGUACCAGAGGAAUAAGCACCGGCUAACUCCGUGCCAGCAGCCGCGGUAAUACGGAGGGUGCGAGCGUUAUCCGGAUUUACUGGGUUUAAAGGGUGCGUAGGUGGGCUUAUAAGUCAGUGGUGAAAUCUCCGAGCUUAACUUGGAAACUGCCGUCGAUACUAUAGGUCUUGAAUUAUCUGGAGGUAAGCGGAAUAUGUCAUGUAGCGGUGAAAUGCUUAGAUAUGACAUAGAACACCAAUUGCGAAGGCAGCUUACUACAUAUAAAUUGACGCUGAGGCACGAAAGCGUGGGGAUCAAACA